GGCUUAGACAGCUAGGAGGUUGGCUUAGAAGCAGCCAUCCUUUAAAGAAAGCGUAAUAGCUCACUAGUCGAGUCGGCCUGCGCGGAAGAUGUAACGGGGCUCAAACCACACACCGAAGCUGCGGGUGUCACGUAAGUGACGCGGUAGAGGAGCGUUCUGUAAGCCUGUGAAGGUGAGUUGAGAAGCUUGCUGGAGGUAUCAGAAGUGCGAAUGCUGACAUGAGUAACGACAAUGGGUGUGAAAAACACCCACGCCGAAAGACCAAGGGUUCCUGCGCAACGUUAAUCGACGCAGGGUUAGUCGGUUCCUAAGGCGAGGCUGAAAAGCGUAGUCGAUGGGAAACAGGUUAAUAUUCCUGUACUUCUGGUUACUGCGAUGGAGGGACGGAGAAGGCUAGGCCAGCUUGGCGUUGGUUGUCCAAGUUUAAGGUGGUAGGCUGAAAUCUUAGGUAAAUCCGGGGUUUCAAGGCCGAGAGCUGAUGACGAGUCGUCUUUUAGAUGACGAAGUGGUUGAUGCCAUGCUUCCAAGAAAAGCUUCUAAGCUUCAGGUAACCAGGAACCGUACCCCAAACCGACACAGGUGGUCGGGUAGAGAAUACCAAGGCGCUUGAGAGAACUCGGGUGAAGGAACUAGGCAAAAUGGCACCGUAACUUCGGGAGAAGGUGCGCCGGCUAGGGUGAAGGAUUUACUCCGUAAGCUCUGGCUGGUCGAAGAUACCAGGCCGCUGCGACUGUUUAUUAAAAACACAGCACUCUGCAAACACGAAAGUGGACGUAUAGGGUGUGACGCCUGCCCGGUGCCGGAAGGUUAAUUGAUGGGGUUAGCGCAAGCGAAGCUCUUGAUCGAAGCCCCGGUAAACGGCGGCCGUAACUAUAACGGUCCUAAGGUAGCGAAAUUCCUUGUCGGGUAAGUUCCGACCUGCACGAAUGGCGUAACGAUGGCGGCGCUGUCUCCACCCGAGACUCAGUGAAAUUGAAAUCGCUGUGAAGAUGCAGUGUAUCCGCGGCUAGACGGAAAGACCCCGUGAACCUUUACUGUAGCUUUGCACUGGACUUUGAGCCUGCUUGUGU
rnacentral:rRNA from 1 species